rnacentral:lncRNA from 1 species
CUUUCAAUUAUUAAAGCCUUAUUUACCACAGCUGCAUAAGUAGUCAAUUCAUAAGGUACCACUUGUUUUCUAAUUUUUGUCUUUAGUCCCAUCUCAAAUUUAUGCGCUCGAUCUAGCUCAUCCUCGACUAACUUUGGAACAAAUUUGGCUAGCUCGGUAAACUUAGCUUCAUAUUCUGCAACAAUCAUAUUUCUUUGCUUUAGAUGAAUAAACUCCUGCUCUUUCUGUGUCCUUACACUCCGAAGAAAAUACUUAUCAUAAAAUGCUCCUC